GAGAGCCGGGCACGGGCCGGGAAGGAGGCGCGCAGCAGAGCGGGGCGCGCGGUGCUCCCCCACGGGUCUGCCGCAGCUCCGACGGGCUUUCGGUUGACCCCGGCUCAGUACCGCGCCCGCGUCCGUUAGGAGCCUCCCCAGUCGGCGCCGCAGCCGCCCAUCCCGGUCCGCCUCCCUCGCGGCUCGCAGCAAGAAGGGCAGCCGGGCCAGGGCCGGGGACCCGGGAUCCCACGGCCGACGGUCGGCGGGCAUCCCGGAUCCUACGGCCGACGGUCGGCGGGCAUCCCGGAUCCUGCCCCCGCGCUGGAAGAGAAAGUGAAAUGAAGCGCCUUUCCCCAAACAGCACCUACCAGGUCCCCAGUCCCGUGCAGCUGCCUCGUUCCUCCAGCGCCGCCGGUCCCCGCCCUCGGGCCCCAGGCUCCGUUCUCUUUGACAAUGGCGCGUCCCCUUUAAGGAAUAAUCCGAUCGGGACCGAUUCGUGGUUAAACCUCCCUCCGACUCUGAUUUUAACCGGAUUUCUGUCUCUCCCAGAGCCCGACGGGCGCCCGGCAGUGCUGCGAGCUCUGCCCACCCCUUCUCUGCCCCGCCCACCCACUCGCCUUCCUGAUUGGCGAAGGAUACUACACCAGGAACAGCGGUCCUCGCCCUCCACUGGCCGGCCUCCCCGCCGCUCAGAGUUUCCCCACCUUCGCCCCGCCCCCUCCCCCGGGUUGGACCUACCUCUAAUCACUCUCGGUCCUCGCCUCCAACGUUGCUUUGGAGAACUGGCAGUCACGGCUCACCCUCCCGCCUCCGGAAAGCUAACUUUAUUUUUAUUGGUAGAAAGACAUCUUCCUGUGCACCUGAUUGGAUAUUUCUAGAGCCAGCAAGGUGACUCAAAGGAUGAGAGCAGGUGCCAUGAAAGCUUGAGAGCCUUCGCUUCUACAAACCAUGCGAAGAAAGCACGGAUGUGGUGGCACAAAUCUGUCAGACCUCUACUACGAAGGAGUUACAUUCUAAAGGCAGCUGCUGGGUGAAAAUGUUACUAGAAAGAAGAAGAAAUACACCACAGAUUCAUUAGCUCUCUAGCUGAAUAUCCGUGGUGGACUCGUCAUGUAUCUUGGGCGUAUCAUUUAACUUGGAGAAGCAAAAGGCAUCAUAGAAAGGCCACCUAGAUCCAGUUCAGUCCCUUUUGCCAUGAAAGGACCACUGAGUCCAGCACCCAAAGCACACGCAGUAGGUGAUUUUUCAUUUUUUUUUUAAAUUAGCGUACCUGAAAGACUAAAUGGCUUGCUUUCCCAUGACUAGUUUUUGUGGUUGUUUAUUUGUUUUUCUUUUUGGUGGGACUGAGAAUUGGCUUUCCAGUCUCUCAUAAUCAAGACAAGUGCUGUCCCCCCCAACCCUACUUUUGGUGGGGACCCAGUUUUCUGACAGGUUACUCUUGGGCCUACUAUCCUUUUCCCUCCAACUCCUUAGGCUGCAUGUCCCACGCUUGGUUCCUCUGUCACUGUGCUGAUGUUAUUAGUACCCACUUAGAAAUGACCUUAAAACUUGCUAGACUUCAAGAUAUAUUAUCAAGUGUCCUGCAAAGUAUGACUUUGUACCUUGGAAGAGCUGGAACACUUUAAAGAAAGCAGGAAGCAAUAUUCAAUAUGUUCCCAUGUAUGGAUAAAAGAAGAGUCAAUAGAAAUAUGUAUAGGCACUGUAUUUCAAGUGCUUGCAACCAGCUCUCAACUUUUUACUUUGAAUAGGAUUUCAUGGAUUAUCCAAGGAACUAGAAAUUAUGCUGAGGGUGGGUGGUGGCAUAGAUAGUUACACGACCAGACACUGAUCUCCUUUGUGUGUGUAUGUGGCGGCGGGGGGGGGGGGGGUGAGGGGGGGGUGGGGGGGUUGUCUGUUGAUAGAGAAGAAGAAAAACAAAGGACAAAAGAAACUCUCUUUAAUUAAUCCUACCAACUAAGCAAACAUAAAUGGAACACUGUCUCUGCAACCGAAGCAAGGAGUUGACAACUGAGCAAAGCCACCUGCAAGAGACUUUUGAACACAAGCUACCCAGAGAUCCCAAAUACUGUUGUCUGGCACAGGGAUUGACAAAUCCUCCCCUGUAAGAUCAGAGUGUAGCUGUACUGAGCUUCUCAGGCUGUACAGUCUCUGUUGCAGCUACACUCGGCUGCUGGAGCACAAACCUGACCAAAAACAAUACAGUAGACCAGAACGGAGGGAUCUG
rnacentral:lncRNA from 1 species